GAUUUUACUUGGGGUGAACACCAGGAGGCUAUGGUGAGGUUGUCUGGGGAAAGGACUGCAGGCUGGAAGGCCAGAGGUCCAGGACUGACUGCGUCCUGACGGGCUAGUCACCCAACCUUUUGAGACUUGCUUUCUCCGUCUGGGAAAUGAGGACACUCAGACCCACUUAUCGAAUGGCAAACACAUAGCAUGGAUCUCUGUCAGUCUAUGAAGGGAAAUCCAAGUUAGACAGGUGCACAUUGGCCAUGGAACCACAGAAGGUGCCUCAGCCUCCCAGAGAGAGCCUCAUUCAUUGGGUUCAAGUCAGGGCAAGAGUGCAGGCGAAGCCAGACCUGGGAUGGGGAUCAGUGCUGUGCGUGGACCUGGGCCCGGGUAGGUGUUACCCUCAUCUCAGCUGUGAGGAAACCAUCUCAGAGUGCACGUGCCCAAGGUCAAACGGCUCCUGGCAUGGAGCUGGGAGUCACCCUGCGCUGAUCCAGGCGGAACGCAGACAUCCGGAGGCCAUUGGGAAAACUGUUUUGUGUGGAAAGCCUUACUCUGCUGGCGGAGGAGGCUGCCUCAGAGUCCGCCCAGCCUGGCCGCUGGCUCCAGGAGCUCGGCUGGGAGCUGCCUCUGAGCCUAACCUGUGUCCACCCCCGCGCCCAGGGAGCCAGCCUCUUCACACUCCCGGCCAUGGAGCAGGCCCUACGGAUUUGGAAGGGGACGUGGAGCCCCCAAAACAGAGGUUCCAUUAACCCCCCAGGCGAAACCAGUCAGUCUCUGGCUAAAGCACAGCUGGGGUGUUUCAGAUUAAACCGGAGUCUUCUUUGUGAAAAGGAAAUGACAGAAGAGAGAGGCCCGGGGGUGCUAAACAUGGUUCAGCUUCUCAACUGACCGCUGAGCCCUGGGAGAAGCACUGCUGGGGACAGGAAUGAUGCUUUGUGCCUUUUUCAGAAAUAGCUUUUAAAUGAGUGAGGCAUACAAUAGAAUUUCAAACAUUAAUUAUCAUUUGGGGAUGCUAUGUAGGUGCCAGUAACUGUUUUAAAUGCUUCAAAUGAAUUAGCCUGGUGAGUCCUCACAAUAGCUCUAUGAGAGAUAUUAUUAGCCCACCUCACCAAUGUAGAAACUGGGGCACAGAGAGGGAAGUGACUCGCCCAAGGUCACGCAGCUGGUAAGUGGCAGAGCAAGGGUUCAAGGAGAGCAGGCUACUCUUUUGACCUGGACCUCACAGGGCAGGUAUGAGCCUGACGCUCCCAACCCCAGGCCUCAGCCCUCAGUGCCCCAUCCUCUGUGGGUGUCUGCAAGGGAAGAUAAGCGUCCAUGGUCUCUCACUGCGGGGGAGGGACACCUGGGAUCUGGCCCUCACCUCGAGGACUACCCUUGUUCCACAGGGGCCCUUGGCAGACUCCGCUUAAAAUCAAUGUAAAGUGUUUAGAAUAAUGUCUGGCACAAAAUAAAUGUUCAAGCCAGAAAUUAUAUGUGAAUAUGUAGAAAAGACAAGGUCAGUAACUGGCUCUAGAGAGGAUUUGGCACUUUCCAAGGGCUUGGGUUAGAUUGAAUUUAAUGAUUUGUAAAUAUUUAUUGUUGUAUCUACAGUUUAAAUGCACUCAGACUAGAUUUUAGAUUCCACAUGUAACUGAUUCCCACAUCCAGAUUUUUUAAAUCUAAAAAGAGUAAGUAUAACACACAAUAAGUUUUCUCAUUAUUUCCUCACUUUGUGUCUCAGCCUUUCCAUUUCCUGCACGCCUCAAUAAAUAAUCUUAAAUCAAAAUAAACAAAUAAGUGAAUGUCUAAGCAGGAGCUAUUAUAUGAGUAUUAAAGAUAUUGACCCUUUGGCUGCCAUUUGUCACACAUGUAACAGGAAUCAACGGCCCUCUAAGACUGGAGGAUCCUGGUUGGUGGCAGGCUCUCAGUUUUGCCGAGCUUCUGGAACGAUUGGGGUACUUCCGCUCAUGAGAUAAGGCAGGGCAAGAAGAGCUGAAGUGCUCUGCAUGACAGAGGGAGAAAUAUUUGGAGUUGGAGAAAUUCUGGGAUGUAGGGAGAAAAGGGGAGAAGGGAGUGAGAGAAGAGGGGUGUGGACAGGUGUGGGUGGAUUCCAGAAUAUGGCCCCCAGACCUCCUGAGAAGUCCGGUGGGAUAAUGUUUGGUUCGAAUGUGGUUCCUCUGUCUGAAUCUGCAUCCCAGUUGACAUGAAAUAGCUGUCUCAGACCAUGAAGCCACUUACCCCUUUGCUCCCCAAACUGGCAAACCCAAACCGUCAAGAUGCCUAGGAACACCAGGAGUUGGUAUUUGAAUUGCACAUGUCUUUUUAAACCCGGUUUGUUAUUUGGUGGUGUGUUUUCUUUAUGGUUGGAAUGGACAUUGUGGUGUGUCUUCUUUAGGACUGUAGGACUCCAUCCUCCAUCGCAGGGAAAUGCUGCAGCAGGGAGCCUCCAACGGUCGGCUGUCAGAGCUACCUUGCCCAACAUCACAGGUAUAACAGUAACUCAUGCUCUGUAAUAAAUUGCCCCAAAACAUGGGAGCUUAAAACAACAAUUAUUAUCUUGAAGUUUCUGUGAAUUAGGAAUUUGAAAGCCACUUAGGGGGGUGGUUCUGGCUUAGGGUUUCUGAUGAGGUUGCAGUCGAACUGUCGACCAGGACUGCAGUCAUUGGACCCAGUCCCCUGACUGGGGCCUGGGGCCGGGGGACUGGCUUUUAAAGGUGUCUCACUAGAAUGGCUGGGGGUGGGAGGCCUUGGUUUCUCACCACGUGGGCCCCU